ensembl:lncRNA
GUUGCUUCCAAGAGCUGAACGCUACCACCAGCAGUAGCCCUGGAGAACCAGGAAACUCAGAGUUCAAGGUGAAAGGGUGAAGUUGCCUGGGCAAGACCCCUCUCAGAUGGGGGAUAGCAGAGGUGGGGUCUGCCUGGGAGGAGACUGCUGGGGUGGGAAGCCCACAGCCAGGUGGAAGAAGGGGCCGUCGUUAAAGCACCUUUUAAACUACAUAACAUGGGUUUGGGGCUUCCCAGGCUAUAUAGUCCAGGAGGUUGCAGAGUCAGACAUGACUGAGUGACUAAGCACAGCACAGCACAACAUGGGCUUUACAAAUUCAGGAGUCAGGGCAGGGGCCUAAUGGAAGUAAGGCCCACUGGGGCCCUGGGGCCUCCAGGCUCUGCUGGGGGAAGUGACCCUGGAGGGAGGAUUCCCUCACAAACCUGGGACAAAGUGUUCUUCCUUCCUAGGACCUGGCCCAGAAGCCAGAGGGGAGCCAAGCAGAGCCCAUGCCCCAGAGGCCCCAUCAACUAUCAUCCGGAAGCCUACAGGAGAAAAAGCUGGCUCAGGGAGCCCCAGGGCCCCCAGGCCUCCCCUCCCCAGGCCUGCCAGAACCCCAAGAUCCCCUGGAGGGGCUGGGCUGGAGCUUGGGCCAGGAGAGAGCAGAACAGAAGAAACUGCUAAGGAUUGAGAUUCCUCACAAUCAGAGAGAGGGGGACCCUCAGGGUCAGGGUAAGAGAGAGAAGACAAACCAGAAUCCAAGCGGGGAGGCUACUCAGGCUCUGAUGGAAGAGGUGUCUCAAGGUCAAAGGUGUGAGGGCCUCCAGGGUGAGCACAGAGGGGCGCCUCAAGGUCAAAGCGAAAGUCGCCUCAAGUGCGGGAGAAAGGAGGCCCUCCCAGAGCCGAGGGCAGAUUCUCCCCGGGGUUGGGAAGAGAAGAUCCUCCAGUCUCCCGAGGGCAGAGACUGUAUCCCACCUGCCUGGGAAGCGGCUCGGGGAGAGGGGCCCCGGGAGAAAAGCGGCUCCCCGGGGGACUUCCGCAGGUCCCUGGGGGAACGGAUGGGGCAGCCUGGGGGAAGGGCGGGCCCAGGGCCCGGGGGAAGGACCACCCAGCUGAUGCAGGUUAAGACCGACGGCCUGAGAGGAAACAGCGCACCGGCCCUGGGAGCGCAGGGGCCCCUCCGGGAAGGGUUGCGGGCUCCGCUUCCGCUCGCUGGGCCCCCGACCCGGCCACUGCUCCCAGGCCCAGGAGCGGUGAUGCUAUCGGCCCCAUGCACUGGGGGCUCCGGGCAGCGGGAACGGCCCGCUGCUCUCCCAGGGCACCUGGGCCCGCUGAGCGAUCCACACUCGCUUCAGGGCCCAGGAGGAAGCCCUGGCCCCGCGGAGCAGGAGCUGGGCGGCUCCACGGGGCUUCCGGGCGCCUUCGGGAGACCGAGGGGUGCUGCGGAGGCCCCCAGAACCUCGAAGACCGCCUGGCCCGAGCCCCUGAGCAGAGACCGGGCGUCGGCGAGCGUGAGCGCCGCGCAGCAGGCGUCGGCUCUGCAGCGGCUGCUGGAGCUGAACCGCGAGGCCAGGCGCCGGCGGCAGCGGGACCGCGAGCAGCAGCGGCUCCGGCUACUGGAGCGCCUCCGCAUCGCCAGGAACCGCCAUUGCCGGGUGCACCCCUUGGAACCCCCACCGAGCCCAGCUCAGCUCCCACCACAGGCAAGACCCCUAGGAGAAGGCGGUGGGGCCACAACGACCCUGCAGGGGCGGGGGCCGGUGGCCAAGCUGGGCGCGACCUGGAUCGCUUUGACUGGCCUCUAUCCCGCACUUGCGAUAACACCUGCGGAGUGGGCCGACCCUCCAGAGCACAGAGGGUGCUGCCCUCUGCUGGCCGCUUCGAGCCCGGGGGGCCGGGAGGCACCGGCGGGCGCUCAGCGUUCCGUCCCGCCUCAGGAGGACGCGGCAGGGCGACGACGCGCCGUGCGGGAACAGCUGGAGCAAACGCACCGGGAAAGGACCGGGCGGCUGCGAGCCCUCGGGGCCAGGUGA